AUGACAGGGGGAGUGAAUGAACGGGGGAGUGACUGGGGGGAAAUAGUGGAGGGCGGGAGGAGACAGCGGUGGGGGGUGAUGACAGAGGGGUCACUGAGCGACUGCGAGUGGGAAGAAUGACAGGGAAACAAGGGGCGGGGGAAGUGACUGAGGAGGUCCUUGAGGGGCAGGGGAGAGCGUCGAAGGUCACUGAGGAGUGGGAGGGGUCGAAGCUCUUCCAUGAGGAGAAAGCGGUUCUCCCUUCUCGGGAAGCCCCCCACGGGUGUUCCAGCCCCUUCACACCGCUGCCCCUCUCUCCCAGUGACGUUCGCUCCCCCCGGAACCCUCACAGUUCUCCCCGCCCCCUCGGACCCGCUUUCCCUUCGACGCCGCCCCACUUCGGGCUGACCUGGGGCCUGGCCCUUUCCUGAGGGGAUUCUAAGCCUUCUCUCCCAAACUUUGAUUUCAGACUUCUUACCUGGAAGUCUGAUUAGAUGGUUGCAUUCUUCUCAGGGUUUGGAAUUCUGCAGUCCCUUUCAAGAAUCUUCUGGAGUACGUGGCCUCUGGAGUUAGAAAGCUAAGCAUCAAAUAAAAUAUCUAUCAGCACUUAAUGGAACAAGGAUGAUUAAACUGGCAUCCCAGGUAUUUUUGGGAAUCUUUAUAGCCAGGAUGUUUUUUUCUCCAUGCUUUGGUUGUCCUGUAGGAUCGCUCUUCCUCACGGUUUACCCUAUGGACAUGUCUCAGUGCACAAGAUUUCCUCCACACCGUGCGCAAAUAUCAUGACAAGCCCUGGUUCCUGCACCAUGUCAUCCCCCAUGUGUUGGUUCUCACAGGCCAUC